UACGUAGGGAGCAAGCGUUGUUCGGAUUUACUGGGCGUAAAGGGCGCGUAGGCGGCGCGGUAAGUCACUUGUGAAAUCUCUGAGUUUAACUCAGAACGGCCAAGUGAUACUGCAGUGCUAGAGUGCAGAAGGGGCAAUCGGAAUUCUUGGUGUAGCGGUGAAAUGCGUAGAUAUCAAGAGGAACACCUGAGGUGAAGACGGGUUGCUGGGCUGACACUGACGCUGAGUGCGCGAAAGCCAGGGGAGCAAACGGG
rnacentral:rRNA from 1 species